GAUGAAGAACGUAGUGAAAUGCGAUAAGUAAUGUGAAUUGCAGAAUUCAGUGAAUCAUCGAAUCUUUGAACGCACAUUGCGCCCCCUGGUAUUCCGGGGGGCAUGCCUGUUCGAGCGUCAUUUCACCACUCAAGCCUCGCUUGGUAUUGGGCAACGCGGUCCGCCGCGUGCCUCAAAUCGACCGGCUGGGUCUUCUGUCCCCUAAGCGUUGUGGAAACUAUUCGCUAAAGGGUGUUCGGGAGGCUACGCCGUAAAACAACCCCAUUUCUAAGGUUGACCUCGGAUCAGGUAGGGAUACCCGCUGAACUUAAGCAUAUCAAUAAGCGGGGA
rnacentral:misc_RNA from 1 species